AGUUAGGUGGCUGAUAAAAGCAUUAAACUGUAAAUUUAAUUAUAGAGUUAUCUCUCCUUACUA
rnacentral:tRNA from 1 species